rnacentral:rRNA from 1 species
AUACGGAGGAUGCGAGCGUUAUCCGGAUUUAUUGGGUUUAAAGGGUGCGUAGGCUGUGCGUUAAGUCAGGGGUGAAAUGCCGUCGCUCAACGACGGAGCUGCCCUUGAUACUGGCGUGCUGGAGUACGGAUGCCGUUGGAGGAAUGAGUGGUGUAGCGGUGAAAUGCUUAGAUAUCACUCAGAACACCGAUUGCGAAGGCAUCUGACGAAUCCGUCACUGACGCUGAGGCACGAAAGCGUGGGGAUAGAACAGGAUUAGAUACCCUGGUAUGCCACGCCGUAAACGAUGAUGACUAACCGUCGGCGAUAGACAGCCGGUGGCCAAGCGAAAGCGAUAAGUCAUCCACCUGGGGAGUACGUCGGCAACGAUGAAACUCAAAUGAAUUGACGGGG